rnacentral:rRNA from 1 species
GACGAACGCUGGCGGCGUGCUUAACACAUGCAAGUCGAACGGUGAAGCUCCAGCUUGCUGGAGUGGAGCAGUGGCGAGCGGGUGAGUAACACGUGAGCAACCUGCCCCUGACUCUGGAAUAAGCGCUGGAAACGGCGUCUAAUACUGGAUACGAGAAGGGUCCGCAUGGGCACUUUCUGGAAAGUUUUUCGGUUGGGGAUGGGCUCGCGGCCUAUCAGCUUGUUGGUGAGGUAAUGGCACGCCAAGGCGACGACGGGUAGCCGGCCUGAGAGGGCGACCGGCCACACUGGGACUGAGACACGGCCCAGACUCCUACGGGAGGCAGCAGUGGGGAAUAUUGCACAAUGGGCGAAAGCCUGAUGCAGCGACGCCGCGUGAGGGAUGACGGCCUUCGGGUUGUAAACCUCUUUCAGCAGGGAAGAAGCGAAAGUGACGGUACCUGCAGAAGAAGCACCGGCUAACUACGUG